CAUAUAGAUAGUUUAUAGUAAACUACUAUAAACAGCGGAACGGCUCCUCCAUCAACAGCGGAACGGCUCCGCCCGGACUCCUGCGAGAGCCGGGCUCCGCCCUCAGUCUCCGACCUCAGUAUCAGCUGCCGGAGCCGGACUCCACCCACGACCUCAACCGAAAGGAGAACUCCUCCCGGACUCCUUCAAAGGCCAAUCUCCGACCACUGCCGAGCCUCAAUCAACAGAUCCGCAUCCCUUGGCAGAUCACAAUAACAACUAUGAUCCUGUUCCACUUCCUGUAGCGGAUUCCGCGCGGCUCUUUCACCCCCUGCGGCGGACCCAUUACUCUCUGACAGGCUGUAUCAACAGCCACGAUUCUGCUCCGCUCCC
rnacentral:lncRNA from 1 species